rnacentral:rRNA from 1 species
AUUGAACGCUGGCGGCAUGCUUUACGCAUGCAAGUCGAACGGCAGCGCGGGCUUCGGCCUGGCGGCGAGUGGCGAACGGGUGAGUAAUGCAUCGGAACGUGCCCAGUAGUGGGGGAUAGCCCGGCGAAAGCCGGAUUAAUACCGCAUACGACCUGAGGGUGAAAGCGGGGGACCGAAAGGCCUCGCGCUAUUGGAGCGGCCGAUGUCGGAUUAGCUAGUUGGUGGGGUAAAGGCUUACCAAGGCGACGAUCCGCAGCUGGUCUGAGAGGACGACCAGCCACACUGGGACUGAGACACGGCCCAGACUCCUACGGGAGGCAGCAGUGGGGAAUUUUGGACAAUGGGGGCAACCCUGAUCCAGCCAUGCCGCGUGCGGGAAGAAGGCCUUCGGGUUGUAAACCGCUUUUGUUCGGGAAGAAAUCCUCUGGGCUAAUACCCCGGGGGGAUGACGGUACCGGAAGAAUAAGCACCGGCUAACUACGUG